UAUAAUUAAAUCCUCUUUGCUAAUUGCUGCAGGGCUUCUGCAAAAUCCCUCAACCUUGUUCUUUUCUUUCCCUGUGGCUUUGCCAAGAGUUCCUUCUUUCGUCAUCAACAUCCUUUGGUUGUAACAGUUGUUUAUUUUGGCGAUAAUUUAAUUUCGAUGCAAAUAUUUCAUUACGUAUGAAUUUCUCUCUUUAUAAAGCACACCAAGCAUCUAGGACUUUUCUUUCAACAACUUUCUUCUCGUUAAAGAAUUACCCAUCAAUAAAAUUAUUUU